GGCCUGCUAGCUCAGUCGGUUAGAGCGUCGUGCUAAAACGCGAAGGCCACAGGUUCGAUCCCUGUGUAGGCCA
rfam:Ixodes scapularis strain Wikel colony gcontig_1108379708494, whole genome shotgun sequence.